rnacentral:rRNA from 1 species
GGCCUACGGGACGCAGCAGUGGGGGAUAUUGCACAAUGGGGGGAACCCUGAUGCAGCGACGCCGCGUGGGUGAAGAAGUAUUUCGGUAUGUAAAGCCCUAUCGGCAGGGAAGAAUUUAGACGGUACCUGACUAAGAAGCACCGGCUAAAUACGUGCCAGCAGCCGCGGUAAUACGUAUGGUGCAAGCGUUAUCCGGAUUUACUGGGUGUAAAGGGAGCGCAGGCGGCGCGUUAAGCCUGGUGUGAAAGCCCGCGGCCCAACCGCGGGACUGCAUUGGGAACUGGCGCGCUGGAGUGCCGGAGGGG